UGCCAGACUCCUACGGGAGGCAGCAGUGGGGAAUAUUGCACAAUGGGGAAAACCCUGAUGCAGCGACGCCGCGUGAGCGAUGAAGUAUUUCGGUAUGUAAAGCUCUAUCAGCAGGGAAGAAAAUGACGGUACCUGACUAAGAAGCCCCGGCUAACUACGUGCCAGCAGCCGCGGUAAUACGUAGGGGGCAAGCGUUAUCCGGAUUUACUGGGUGUAAAGGGAGCGUAGACGGUCCUGCAAGCCAGAUGUGAAAGCCCGGGGCUCAACCCCGGGACUGCAUUUGGAACUGUAAGGCUAGAGUGUCGGAGAGGCAGGCGGAAUUCCUAGUGUAGCGGUGAAAUGCGUAGAUAUUAGGAGGAACACCAGCGGCGAAGGCGGCCUGCUGGACGAUGACUGACGUUGAGGCUCGAAAGCGUGGGGAGCAAACAGGAUUAGAUACCCGAGUACU
rnacentral:rRNA from 1 species